rnacentral:pre_miRNA from 1 species
CCAUUCUCGCAUAACAGUACCAUAUUCUUGGGAUUUCUCAUAUAAAUGGGACUGAUAUGCGAGUAUGG